rnacentral:rRNA from 1 species
CACGUGCUACAAUGGCGCAUACAAAGAGAAGCGACCUCGCGAGAGCAAGCGGACCUCAUAAAGUGCGUCGUAGUCCGGAUUGGAGUCUGCAACUCGACUCCAUGAAGUCGGAAUCGCUAGUAAUCGUGGAUCAGAAUGCCACGGUGAAUACGUUCCCGGGCCUUGUACACACCGCCCGUCACACCAUGGGAGUGGGUUGCAAAAGAAGUAGGUAGCUUAACCUUCGGGAGGGCGCUUACCACUUUGUGAUUCAUGACUGGGGUGAAGUCGUAACAAGGUAACCGUAGGGGAACCUGCGGUUGGAUCACCUCCUUACCUUAAAGAAGC